rnacentral:snRNA from 1 species
GUGUUCACUUCAGCAGCACAUAUACUGAAAUUGGAACGGUACAGAGAAGAUUUUGCACAAGGAUGAUAUGCAAAUUCAUUAAGCAUUAAACAAAAAU